rnacentral:rRNA from 1 species
UAGGGAAUAUUAGUAAUGGGCGAAAGCCUGAACUAGCAACACCGCGUGUGCGAAGAAGGCCUUCGGGUUGUAAAGCACUUUUUGAGAGGAUGAGGAAGGACGGUACUCUCAGAAUAAGUCUCGGAUAACUACGUGCCAGCAGCCGCGGUAACACGUAGGAGGCAAACGUUAUCCGGAUAUACUGGGCGUAAAGCGCGUGUAGGUGGUUUGGUAAGUAGAGCGUGAAAGCUCCUGGCUCAACUGGGAGAGGUCGUUCUAAACUGCCGGACUAUAGGAUGGUAGAGGGAGGUGGAAUUCCGGGUGUAGCGGUGGAAUGCGCAGAUAUCCGGAGGAACACCAGUGGCGAAAGCGGCCUCCUGGACCACUCCUGACACUCAGACGCGAAAGCUAGGGUAGCAAACG